GGAGAGGUGUCAGAGUGGUCGAAUGAGACGGUCUUGAAAACCGUUAUACAGGAUUCUGUAUCGAGGGUUCGAAUCCCUCCCUCUCCGCCA
rnacentral:tRNA from 1 species